AUUGAACGCUGGCGGCAGGCCUAACACAUGCAAGUCGAGCGAGUGGCGGACGGGUGAGUAAUGUCUGGGAAACUGCCUGAUGGAGGGGGAUAACUACUGGAAACGGUAGCUAAUACCGCAUACCAUCGGAUGUGCCCAUAUGGGAUUAGCUAGUAGGUGGGGUAAAGGCUCACCUAGGCGACGAUCCCUAGCUGGUCUGAGAGGAUGACCAGCCACACUGGAACUGAGACACGGUCCAGACUCCUACGGGAGGCAGCAGUGGGGAAUAUUGCACAAUGGGCGCAAGCCUGAUGCAGCCAUGCCGCGUGUAUGAAGAAGGCCUUAGGGUUGUAAAGUACUUUCAGUGGGGAGGCGUUACCGGCAGAAGAAGCACCGGCUAACUCCGUGCCAGCAGCCGCGGUAAUAC
rnacentral:rRNA from 1 species